UGGGGAAUUUUGCACAAUGGGGGAAACCCUGAUGCAGCGACGCCGCGUGAUUUAGAAGGCCUUCGGGUUGUAAAAAUCUUUUCUAUGGGAAGAAAAUGACAGUACCAUAGGAAUAAGGACCGGCUAAUUACGUGCCAGCAGCCGCGGUAAUACGUAAGGUCCGAGCGUUGUCCGGAAUCAUUGGGCGUAAAGGGUACGUAGGCGGGUAAGCAAGUUAGAAGUGAAAUCCUGUAGCUCAACUACAGUAAGCUUUUAAAACUGCUCAUCUUGAGAUAUGGAAGGGAAAGUGGAAUUCCUAGUCUAGCGGUGAAAUGCGCAGAUAUUAGGAGGAAUACCGGUGGCGAAGGCGACUUUCUGGCCAUAAUCUGACGCUGAGGUACGAAAGCGUGGGUAGCAAACAGG
rnacentral:rRNA from 1 species